GGAGUUGUGGCUCAGUGGUAGAGUGCUUGCCUGGCAUGUGUGAGGCCCUGGGUUCAAUCCUCAGCACCA
rnacentral:tRNA from 1 species